rnacentral:rRNA from 1 species
CCUACGGGGGGCUGCAGUGGGGAAUAUUGGACAAUGGGGGGAACCCCGAUCCAGCCAUGCCGCGUGUGUGAAGAAGGCCCUCGGGUUGUAAAGCACUUUCAGUGAGGAAGAACGCCUGGUGGUUAAUACCCAUCAGGAAAGACAUCACUCACAGAAGAAGCACCGGCUAACUCCGUGCCAGCAGCCGCGGUAAUACGGAGGGUGCGAGCGUUAAUCGGAAUUACUGGGCGUAAAGCGCGCGUAGGUGGCUUGAUAAGCCGGUUGUGAAAGCCCCGGGCUCAACCUGGGAACGGCAUCCGGAACUGUCAAGCUAGAGUGCAGGAGAGGAAGGUAGAAUUCCCGGUGUAGCGGUGAAAUGCGUAGAGAUCGGGAGGAAUACCAGUGGCGAAGGCGGCCUUCUGGACUGACACUGACACUGAGGUGCGAAAGCGUGGGUAGCAAACAGGAUUAGAUACCCUAGUAGUC